AACGAACGCUGGCGGCAUGCCUAACACAUGCAAGUCGAACGAGACCUUCGGGUCUAGUGGCGCACGGGUGCGUAACGCGUGGGAACCUGCCCUUAGGUUCGGAAUAACUCCCCGAAAGGGGUGCUAAUACCGGAUAAUGUCUUCGGACCAAAGAUUUAUCGCCUUUGGAUGGGCCCGCGUUGGAUUAGCUAGUUGGUAGGGUAAACGCCUACCAAGGCGACGAUCCAUAGCUGGUCUGAGAGGAUGAUCAGCCACACUGGGACUGAGACACGGCCCAGACUCCUACGGGAGGCAGCAGUGGGGAAUAUUGGACAAUGGGCGAAAGCCUGAGCCAGCAAUGCCGCGUGAGUGAUGAAGGCCUUAGGGUUGUAAAGCUCUUUUACCCGGGAUGAUAAUGACAGUACCGGGAGAAUAAGCGCCGGCUAACUCCGUG
rnacentral:rRNA from 1 species